rnacentral:misc_RNA from 1 species
AAGUCGUAACAAGGUAUCCGUAGGUGAACCUGCGGAUGGAUCAUUAUUGAUGAUUUGAUUAUUGUUUUGUGCAUGUAUUUUUGUGUGGUUGGCGAUCAUUCUAUGGUUGCCAACAGCGAAUUGAUGUAUCACAACUGACUGAGUCACACAUCCAAAUGAAAACAACUUUCAGCAAUGGAUCUCUUGGCUCUC